rnacentral:rRNA from 1 species
UGAGUACGAGAGGCUACGGCCUCGAAGCAGUCUAUGUCAUACUUCCAAGAAAAGCUUGCAAUGUCAUAAACAAAUAAUGCCUGUACCAUAACCGACACAGGUGGGUAGUUAGAGUAUACUAAGGGGCGCGAGAUAACUCUCUCUAAGGAACUCGGCAAAAUGACUCCGUAACUUCGGGAGAAGGAGUGCCUUAUUUAUUAUUUAUAAGGUUGCAAUAACAAGAUCCAAGCAACUGUUUACCAAAAACACAGGUCUCCGCUAAGUCGUAAGACGAUGUAUGGGGGCUGACGCCUGCCCAGUGCCAGAAGGUUAAAGAAGUUGGUUAGCAUUCGCGAAGCUGACAACUGAAGCCCUGGUGAACGGCGGCCGUAACAAUAACGGUCCUAAGGUAGCGAAAUUCCUUGUCGGGUAAGUUCCGACCCGCACGAAAGGCGUAAUGAUUUGGAUACUGUCUCGGAGAGAGGCUCGGUGAAAUAGACUUGUCUGUGAAGAUGCGGACUACCUGCACCUGGACAGAAAGACCCUACGAAGCUUUACUGUAACUUGAAAUUGAAAUUGGACUUUAUUUGCGCAGUAUAGGUGGGAGGCGUUGAUAGUAUUCUUGCGGGAAUAUUGGAGCCAUCAGUGAGAUACCACUCUUGUAAUGUUAGAUUUCUAACUUUGUAUCAUUAUCUGGUCAAAGGACAGUUUCAGGCGGGCAGUUUGACUGGGGCGGUCGCCUCCCAAACGGUAACGGAGGCGUACAAAGGUUUCCUCUGAACGGGUAGAAAUCGUAUCUAGAGUGUAAAGGCAUAAGGAAGCUUGACUGUGAGACCUACAAGUCGAGCAGGGACGAAAGUCGGUCUUAGUGAUCUGACGGUGCUGAGUGGAAAGGCCGUCACUCAACGGAUAAAAGUUACUCUAGGAUAACAGGCUGAUCUCCCCCAAGAGUUCACAUCGACGGGGAGGUUUGGCACCUCGAUGUCGGCUCAUCGCAUCCUGGGGCGGUAGUACGUCCCAAGGGUUGGGCUGUUCGCCCAUGAAAGCGGUACGCGAGCUGGGUUCAGAACGUCGUGAGACAGUUCGGUCCAUAUCCGGUGUAGGCGUUAGAAUAUUGAGAGGAGCCUUCUUUAGUACGAGAGGACCGAGAAGGACAUACCUCUGGUGUACCAGUUAUCGUGCCAACGGUAAACGCUGGGUAGCUAUGUAUGGAGAGGAUAACCGCUGAAAGCAUCUAAGUGGGAAGCCCACCUCAAGAUAAGUACUC